AGCGGGGGAAGCCUCAUAUACAGAGACGGAUAAAUUAAAUUUAUAUACUGCAGACAAGCCAAGAAGAUGUGUAGAUUACAUAUUUACAGCACUUGAUGUUUUCUGAAAACCAUAUUUAUACAUUUUAUUACAUUUACAAAAAAGGCUUUCACUACUGUUUACCUACAAUAAUGAAAAAAAUUUACACUCUUUUUUCUUUCUUUUUUGGAACUGUACAAACUUUGUAUAAUAAAAAUAUAUCUCUGUACAAAAGAUUUUUUUUGUUUUUGUUUUACUUUUUUUUUCCCCUCAUGGGAUGGCGGUGGUGGGAGUGCGGUGUGAAAGGCGGUGAAGGGCCAAAUCGGCCCUGCUUCUGUCCCAGUCUCUGGAGGUGGCGAGAAAAUGCCAGAGUCGGGGAGAGGGUGCUGCACAGCAGAGUGCUGGGUGCCCAGCAGUCUGUACUUCUUGGGCAUCUGGUGGGACUCACAAGGGAACACAGGGGAGGGAGUGGGGCCUGGAGGAGGAGCCCCAGUGAUCAGCAUGUGAGAAAGGGAAGGAGCAGCAGAGCUCUCUGCAUUUGUUCCAGGGAUGGAAGAGGAUGAGGGUGUAAGUGUUUCUUUGGACCAGUCCUCUCCCACCUCGCCUGGGGAUGUGAUGUCCCAGGGGAAGGGGGCAGGAGUAGGCUCCCACCAUUGCCAGUCUCCAUUAUAUCUGCUGGAAAUGGCACCUUUCACUGUAGCCUAUCUUAACAUCAGCCAGAUCUUUUUUUUUUUUUUUUUUGGUACCAGGGAUUGAACUCAGGAUCUUGCGCUUGUGAGGCAGACGCUGGAACCACUGAGCUAAAUCCCCAGCCCCAGCCAGAUCUUUCAAUUGUCCCAACCCAGAAUUAGGGAACCAGAUGACCCUCCUCCCCGACUCUUACACAUUUCUGUUUAUUUCAACAUGUCAUACAAACACCCGAGGCUGGCAUGUCAUAUAUGCAGAAGGUGUAAGCCCAUGGGGAUCUUCCCAAGGACAGAGAAAGUGGCUCUAAAUGUAAUACUUUGAUUCCUAAACUUAUGGGCUUCAGAACAAUACUCAUAUGGAAUUCAUUGAUGACUCAAGCACAAUGAAACUGUCAAAGUAAAUCAAAACCACUUUCAAGGAGGUGGAGAAAGUGUGACUUUCAUUCACUCUGUUCUUUUGAUAGUGAAGCUAUCAGCUCCUCUCUCUGCUGUGGUCAGGGGCUUCUGGGAGCGGAGGGGCCAGCACCAAUGCCAGGAGGCAAGGAGUGGGGGCAGGGUGGCUUUACUGGGUUCCUGUCCUGAUGCUAUCCAGGUGGAAAGAGCAGAACCCAGAUGGGACACAGGUGUUCCUGUCCGCCCGACCUGGCCACAGGGCUAAUGUCAAGACUCACCUACCCUUCCCUUUCUUUGGUGCCCCUUCUAGGCCUGAGUUUCUGGAAGAGGGUGUAGUGGACUUUGGGGUCAGAGUGAUUUGGGUCAGCAUAUUCUCUGCUCUUACUCACUUUGUGGCUCUUGUCUCUUUACCUUCCUGGGCCUCAAUGUUCUCAUCUAUAAAAUGAGAAUACCAAUCCUGUUUUGAUUGUGUUGUACAAACUAGAAAUUAUGUAUAUAAGUGUCAGGCACAGAGAAGAAACCUAGUACAUGGCAGCUGUCAUUUUUUGGGUGUCUUGUGCAUCCUCUCUAGCACCUGCCUUCUGGGGUUAGAUCUGUUACCUCUUUCUGGGUCACAGAUUUGUUUUCUCUUCUCUUGCUCAUCGGACAGCCGGAUAUGAACUUGGGCUCUUGGCCAGAUUCCUGUCUCUUUGGCUCACCCUUCUUUCCCAGGACCCAAAUUAUUUUUAAUUCACUGGGUUUAGAACUCAGUACAAUUAUGUUUGAAAAAAUAAAGAAACCGAUCGCCAAACUAUUUCUGAAGAUUUUUGCCUGUCUCCAGGGUCAUCCUUGCUGCCACUGUGCAGAUGGGACCAUCCAUCUGUAGGCGACUGCUUUCUGGGGAAACACCCUACUAAGGCAUUCAUGCUGUCCUCACACAUGGGGCCAGUGAGGAGCAUGUUAGUUUGAUAGAGCUGAUUAUGCCCCCCCAUAUCUUCUCUGGGUUUGUGGGGAUCAGGGCACAGGGCAUCUUUUACAUGCACACUUAAUGUUUUUAAGCCUUUGUUAUCACUUCCAUAGGACACAAAUGAGGGAGAAGUGUGUGUUUGUGUGUGUUCAGGGCCCUCCCCCCCCAAGCACAUCCACAAGUUGCUUUGUGAUUUUAAAUCCAUAAACUUCCUUCCUCUGUCAGCAGCCCCUCUUCCUUUCCUGUGGCAAGCCAGGGCAUAGCAGGAGUCCUCUCCAGGGUGGCAGGCGUAGAUGGUGGCAGGGUGGGGCCCGAGUCCCAGCAGUGGCAGACACAGGCAGAGACGAACAAAGAGCACUGGGCACUGUGCUCAGGGAGCUCCUUCCUGCCCCCCGGGCGAGCUGGGAACAAAUAGACCACAGCAGAAUUGGUAGAAGAGAGGACAGGUAGGGUAGGAUGGCAGCAAAGGCAGCAUGAGAAGAGAGAGGCAAAGCCAAGAAGGAAAAAAGGGGAAAGAAUGAAAGAAAAUUAGUUGGGUCUAUCUUUUUAUUCUUCCCUGUGACUGGAGAAUACACUUAGACCAUAUAUUUUUUUGCCUGUAGUCUUUUUCCCCUCAUGGGCUAACUCAUUGAGCUAGGGAUUGG
ensembl:lncRNA